rnacentral:rRNA from 1 species
ACGAACGCUGGCGGCGUGCUUAACCCAUGCAAGUCGAACGGAAAGGCCCUGCUUUUGUGGGGUGCUCGAGUGGCGAACGGGUGAGUAACACGUGAGUAACCUGCCCUUGACUUUGGGAUAACUUCAGGAAACUGGGGCUAAUACCGGAUAGGAGCUCCUGCUGCAUGGUGGGGGUUGGAAAGUUUCGGCGGUUGGGGAUGGACUCGCGGCUUAUCAGCUUGUUGGUGGGGUAGUGGCUUACCAAGGCUUUGACGGGUAGCCGGCCUGAGAGGGUGACCGGCCACAUUGGGACUGAGAUACGGCCCAGACUCCUACGGGAGGCAGCAAUGGGGAAUAUUGCACAAUGGGCGGAAGCCUGAUGCAGCAACGCCGCGUGCGGGAUGACGGCCUUCGGGUUGUAAACCGCUUUCGCCUGUGACGAAGCGUGAGUGACGGUAAUGGGUAAAGAAGCACCGGCUAACUACGUG